GAUGAACGCUGGCGGCGUGCCUAAUACAUGCAAGUCGAGCGAACAGACGAGGAGCUUGCUCCUCUGACGUUAGCGGCGGACGGGUGAGUAACACGUGGAUAACCUACCUAUAAGACUGGGAUAACUUCGGGAAACCGGAGCUAAUACCGGAUAAUAUAUUGAACCGCAUGGUUCAAUAGUGAAAGACGGUUUUGCUGUCACUUAUAGAUGGAUCCGCGCCGCAUUAGCUAGUUGGUAAGGUAACGGCUUACCAAGGCAACGAUGCGUAGCCGACCUGAGAGGGAGCUCGCCCACACGGGCAGUGAGACGCGCUCCAGUCCCCCGCGGGGGGCAGGAGUGGGAUAUUUGCCGCUAGGGGCGAACCCUUGCCGGCCAAGCGCCGCGUGAGAGAAGAAUCUUCUCGGUGCGUAAAACUCUGUUAUUGGGGAAGAACAAAUGUGUAAGUACCUAUGCGCGUUUUCGCGGUCCCUAAUCAGAGCGCCGCGUCUCACCGCG
rnacentral:rRNA from 1 species